AAGCUCGUAGUUGAAUUUCGGGACCGGUGGGUUGGUCGUGCCUCCGGUACGUACUGGUCUUACUGGUUCCUCCCUUCUGAAGAACCACGAUGUCAUUAAUUUGGUGUCGUGGGGAAUCAGGACUGUUACUUUGAAAAAAUUAGAGUGUUUAAAGCAGGCUAAAGCUUGAAUAGAUUAGCAUGGAAUAACGAAAUAGGACGUUUGAUCUUAUUUUGUUGGUUUCUAAGAUCGACGUAAUGAUUAAUAGGGAUAGUUGGG
rnacentral:rRNA from 1 species